AACGAACGCUGGCGGCAUGCCUAACACAUGCAAGUCGAACGAAGGCUUCGGCCUUUGUCGCGUACGGGUGCGUAACGCGUGGGAAUAUGCCCUUUGGUUUGGCAUAACAGCUGGAAACGGAUGCUAACACCGGAUGAUGACGAAAGCCCAAAGAUUUAUCGCAAGAGGAUGAGCACGCGUUGGAUUAGGUGGUUGGUGGGGUAAAGGCCUACCACGCGGCCGAUCAAUAGCUGGUCAGAGAGAAAGCUCAGCCACACUUAGACGGAGACACGGCCGGGACUCCUACGGAAGGCGGCAGUGGGGGAUGUUGGACAGUGGGCGCAGGCAUGAUGGUGCUAGGCCGCGAAAAUGAUGAAGUCCGUGGAGUUGAAAAGCGCAUGUACCCAUGAAGGUAAUGACGGUACCGGAAGAAUAAGCCCCGGCUAACUCCGUG
rnacentral:rRNA from 1 species